GAGGGUAUAGCUCAGUGGCAGAGCGCACGCUUAGCAUGCAUGAGGUCCUGGCUUCCAUCCCCAGUACCUCCA
rnacentral:tRNA from 1 species